UGGGGAAUAUUGCACAAUGGGGGAAACCCUGAUGCAGCGACGCCGCGUGAGCGAAGAAGGUUUUCGAAUCGUAAAGCUCUGUCCUAUGGGAAGAUAAUGACGGUACCAUAGGAGGAAGCCCCGGCUAACUACGUGCCAGCAGCCGCGGUAAUACGUAGGGGGCAAGCGUUGUCCGGAAUCACUGGGCGUAAAGGGUUCGCAGGCGGAAAUGCAAGUCAGUUGUGAAAGGCAGAGGCUCAACCUCUGUAAGCAAUUGAAACUGCAUAUCUUGAGAAGAGUAGAGGUAAGUGGAAUUUUUAGUGUAGCGGUGAAAUGCGUAGAUAUUAAAAAGAAUACCGGUGGCGAAGGCGACUUACUGGGCUCAUUCUGACGCUGAGGAACGAAAGCGUGGGUAGCAAACAGG
rnacentral:rRNA from 1 species